UACAGAGGUCCCGAGCGUUGUUCGGAUUCACUGGGCGUAAAGGGUGCGUAGGUGGAGUGGUAAGUCAGUGGUGAAAUCUCCAAGCUUAACUUGGAAACUGCCGUUGAUACUAUCAUUCUUGAAUAUCGUGGAGGUAAGCGGAAUAUGUCAUGUAGCGGUGAAAUGCUUAGAUAUGACAUAGAACACCGAUUGCGAAGGCAGCUUGCUACACGAUCAUUGACACUGAGGCACGAAAGCGUGGGGAUCAAACAGG
rnacentral:rRNA from 1 species